rnacentral:tRNA from 1 species
GAUGGUAUAGCUCAGUGGUAGAGUGCAUGCUUAGCAUGCACGAGGUCCUGGGUUCAAUCCCCAGUCCUUCCA